UCCAAGCCCGACUGGCUGCUGCAGAGGCAGAAAGGGUAGCAGCUGAACAGGAGAAGCGUGAAAAGGAGGAAUCUUUUUCUUUUUUCUUUUGCUGAACAAGAACUCAUCAUGGAAAGGGUGGUCUAAGAGUCAAAGAAACUUCAGCAGGAAGCAGAGGAGAAUGCGAAGGUAAUGAUAAAGGUGACAGCUACAAGCAACAAAGACUAAUAUAAUUCAUAGCAUUGUCUGAUCGUCUUGAUGCUCUGUUGCAGCUACGGGAGUUCUUAAUGGACCGUGGUCAUGUUGUCGAUGUAUUGCAGAUUGCCUCAAGUUCUUAAAAGAAAUACCUUCUACAGCAACAAAUGAUGCAUCUGCCAAUCCUUUCCAACAUUCCAGCUCUGUCAUGAAUCUUUAUUUAGAGACAAGUUCUACUCUUUUGAAGGUCCUUCAAGCCCAUUUUGGCCAGCUCAUCUCCCACCAACUUUCUAAGGAAUUGAGAAGGUUGUGGGCAUCAUCUGUGCAUGCUAAUCCAAGAUUGCAAAAUG